GAAAUAGAUGAUCUCUAGUUUCCAAUUCUUGUUGGCACAUAACACAGAUGCCUGAUAUGUUCAAAUUCCAUUGCAGCAGUCUGUUCUUGGUAGGAAUUCUAUCCUGUAGUAACAACCACAAGCUGAAGAUAGCUUUAGGUCUAGCAGCAUUUUGCAUUACCAGAUUCUUCCAUGAAACUCUAGGUGAUUCUCCAAGGAAUUGCAAGUAUACUUUCCUUAUGGUGCAGUCAGUGUUAUCUAGCAAUUGAUGCUGAUGUAGUAGCUUAGCUCCCUC
rnacentral:lncRNA from 1 species